rnacentral:rRNA from 1 species
GACGAACGCUGGCGGCGUGCUUAACACAUGCAAGUCGAACGGAAAGGCCCUGCUUUUGUGGGGUGCUCGAGUGGCGAACGGGUGAGUAACACGUGAGUAACCUGCCCUUGACUUUGGGAUAACUUCAGGAAACUGGGGCUAAUACCGGAUAGGAGCUCCUGCUGCAUGGUGGGGGUCGGAAAGUUUCGGCGGUUGGGGAUGGACUCGCGGCUUAUCAGCUUGUUGGUGGGGUAGUGGCUUACCAAGGCUUUGACGGGUAGCCGGCCUGAGAGGGUGACCGGCCACAUUGGGACUGAGAUACGGCCCAGACUCCUACGGGAGGCAGCAGUGGGGAAUAUUGCACAAUGGGCGGAAGCCUGAUGCAGCAACGCCGCGUGCGGGAUGACGGCCUUCGGGUUGUAAACCGCUUUCGCCUGUGACGAAGCGUGAGUGACGGUAAUGGGUAAAGAAGCUCCGGCUAACUACGUG